AGAAUUGCAGUUUCAGCCACCAGCAGCUCUCCGAUGGGCACAGGCUCCACUUAUGGCUGGUUUGGAAUGGCAAAUCCAUCACUCUCUUUGCCUGUAAAAUGCCAAGGAGACUGAUCUAAGCAGGGGGUUCCCAUCCAUGGCCUGCUCUAGGCCUGAAGGAACACAGAUGGCAUUUGCAGGAAGAUGACAUCUCACCAUCCCCAUCUGAGCAAAGCCUGCCCAUCAAACAACCAAAGGAUAGCCAGUCCCCUGCACAGUGUAAAGUGACUUGCAGUGAUCCUCUUCCCCAAGGCCAGCCCCAGCUCUCAGACCUCCAGUCCCAACAAGUCUUUUUUUGCAAAGGAGGCUCACCCUGGAACAUGGCUCUCCCAAGGGGAGACAGGAACGGAUGUUGACUUCAUCCCAGCAGCUUCUGACACAAUGCCACUAUCUUUCAACUUUCUCCACCAACAGGGUCAGGCUGUUGAUUGGCCUCGACUGCAGUUAGCCUGACACGGCUAGCAGCCUCAAAACAAAUUAAACGAGGCAGGGAUGCCGUGCAGUGAUCGUUCCAUUAUGUCCCCUCUGCUUCCACACGUGACUCACACUAUCACUUUUAGAAGGUGAAGCAUCUUAUUGAAUCAACACCUAAUCUGCACACAGUGUCACGGAGGAGGGGCGAGGGGACAGCGGGAGCAUUUUCUCUGAUCCUUUUCUUUCCUGAAGACUUCGCUGGAGACAGGCUGGGUGGGGGCGAAGAUGAAUUGUGAGGAACCCUGACCCUAUUUCAGGAGCUGUUCUCGGCCUCGGGUUUUCCUGCCUGUUAGAACCCUCAAAACUACAGCUCUCCAGACAGCUACCUCUGAAGGCUCCUGAAGCUUAGAAACAGAGAGGAAAACACCCCUUUAUCUGCACGUGUCUCCACCACUGCAAUUGCUGGAAGCUCCACGAGUGCCCUCGGUGCACAGAUGUGCUUUACAACAGAGUGACUGUAAAUGAGAAAACACUAAGUUAGGCUCUGACGGCCAAUGCUGGAUGUAUCCGUUUGCCCUAUAAAUAAGCACUGAUCACCUCCAUUUUAUUGAACUCAUUUUCUAGGCAAGCAAAGACCACAAGAUUCUUCUGCACAUUUUCUCUUUACACCCUCUAGUACUGCUGCUACUGUCAGCUCCGACAGAUUUAUAGCCCAUUCAUUCAUGGGAACAAAAACCCUGCCACGGCUGGUCAUGGGACACGCAAUAGCAGUUAGUUCAAAAGAUAACAGCUGCAAUACCUCACCUCUCCAUUCAGCACUACAGAGCCAGCACUACUUCGGAGGUAAUAAAUGCUUCUUGUUAGUGUG
ensembl:lncRNA novel transcript